UACGGGGGGAGCAAGCGUUGUUCGGAUUUACUGGGCGUAAAGGGCGCGUAGGCGGCGUGACAAGUCACUUGUGAAAUCUCCGGGCUUAACCCGGAGCGGCCAAGUGAUACUGUCGUGCUAGAGUGCGGAAGAGGCGAGUGGAAUUCCUGGUGUAGCGGUGAAAUGCGCAGAUAUCAGGAGGAACACCAAUUGCGAAGGCAGCUCGCUGGGACGUUACUGACGCUGAGACGCGAAAGCGUGGGGAGCAAACAGG
rnacentral:rRNA from 1 species